AAUAUUACUAAUGAAUUUAAGUCACUAAAUUUUUUACAACUUUAGAUAUUUAUAAGAAUGGUUAUAUGCAAACAGAAAUGACUGAGCUAAUGAUUAUCCUUAAAAUGUUAUUUUUGAGGGACAUUGCAUGUAGUCUUUCUUAUCCCUGAACGGGGGUUUAGCUUUCCUUGAAAAUAACAGAUGCAUUGAGGAAGAAUUAAAAAAACCUUCAGAGUUAGUUAGUUGUUAAUAAUUCUCCAGUAGAUGGAGGUAGAGAAUAGCGUAUUUUCGAAGAUGUAUGAAAAUAAUUUUUUUCUCAAUGAUAGUGUGUACAUUUUCUGUCAAUCUUCCUAGGGUGUUAUUCAUAACUGUUAAUAAGUUGCUGUUUGAGAAGACGCUCAAGAGAGCACAGGCAACAGCACCCAGAUAAGAAUUCAAACCAUCUCCUCAUAUGAAAGCACUGCCAACACUUUGGAGGAGACGCUGUGCUAUGUUGACCCUGGCUGGACACCAGAUUCCCACCAAAGCCAUUCUAGCACACACCUCUUCAGCUAGACCAGAUAUUGCAGCAUGCAGAAUAUGAAAAUGAAUCUACCCAGAUGAGAAAUGAAACAGGUGAAAGGAAAUUUUCAGAAUCUUCCAUCUUUAUGCCUGUUGGAUGCUGUUGAAGAAUGGGAUAGAUGUAUCAAUAAAUAUUAACACAAGAUA